AUUGAACGCUGGCGGCAGGCCUAACACAUGCAAGUCGAGCGAGCGGCGGACGGGUGAGUAAUGUCUGGGAAACUGCCUGAUGGAGUGGGAUAACUACUGGAAACGGUAGCUAAUACCCCAUACCAUCAGAUGUGCCCAGAUGGGGUUAGCUGGUAGGUGGGGUAACGGCUCACCUAGGCGACGCUCCCUAGCUGGUCUGAGAGGAUGACCAGCCACAAUGGAAAUGAGGAACGGUCCAGACUCCUACGGGAGGCAGCAGGGGGGAAAAUUGCACAAUGGGCGCAAGCCGGAUGCAGCCAUGCCGCGUGUGUGAAGAAGGCCUUCGGGUUGUAAAGCACUUUUAGCGGGGAGGCGUUACCCGCAGAAGAAGCACCGGCUAACUCCGUGCCAGCAGCCGCGGUAAUAC
rnacentral:rRNA from 1 species